AUAUUAAUCCGAAAAAUAACAGCUUGUUUGUGUGCUUAUAUUAGGUUAUGCUACGUAAGUAUUUAUGCAUGUAUGCAUUUUUUAGGGUAAUUUAUAAUAUAAAUAAAUAUAUACUUUUUGUGGACAUUAAGGAACUCGGCAAACUAACAGUGAGUAUUUGUUCUCGGAAGGACUAGAUAUGUAUAUUGAAUAAUCAGACAUAGUACGAUAAGGUUGUAUGUCUAAAGGGAAAUAGCCCAGAACAAGAGUUAAUAAGGUUCCAAAAUUUUUGUUAAGUGAAAUUAAGGCAGUAUUUAUCCCAAUCGGCCAGGGAAUAGGCUUAGAAGCGGCCAUUUUUUGAAGACCUCGUAACAGAGCACUGGUUUUCUAUUUUAUGGAUAAAAGCACCGAAAAUUUAACGGAUCUAAACAAAAUACCGAUACCUUGUCCAUAUAUAUUAAUGUGUAUAUUAUAUAUUGUAUAUAUGGGGUAGCGGAACAUUGGGUAGCUAUUUUUAAUCCUUUAUAAGGAUUAAUUUGUUUAGAGUUUAACUUAUUAUUCUCUGGACUAAACAAGCCCAAGUGAUAAUGCUGACAUGAGUAACGAUAAAGGAUCAACCAGGACAGAUAAGAUCACCUGAACAGAUAAUAUGACCUGAACAGAUAAUAUCGGAGAAUCCUCGCCUAAAGCUUAUGGAAUUUAUUAAAGUUACGGCCUCUAAGUUUAUUUUUUUUUCAUAACUUUCAACUAUUUAUAUGUAGAUGUUAAAUAUAUACUAGAUAUAAAUAUGUACUAUUUAUGUAAAUUACCUAGUGGUAUAGACGAUGAGAAAACCUAGAGUUUACAGUAAUUAACGUUUUUUAUUUACGUAG
rnacentral:rRNA from 1 species